ensembl:lncRNA
CUCCACCAAGAGACUAUGGAUCUGUUUCUGUUCUCCUGCAAAUGAAAUUAGCAGAAUUAUAUAAACAUAAAACCAGGGGCAAAUGAGAGGAAACUCUUGUUUGCUCUUUUGUGUUGAUAUGGAGUUGUGCUCCUCGAGCACUAAUAAGGCAGUGCUCUCACGGAAGACUGAGAGCAUGUAUUCAGGCCCCUGGCCUCCCAGUGACUGUGCACAACACUCAGCUCCUUUAAGUUUGCAAGUAGUUUACAGGUUGCUUAUAGAGAAGAGUAUGAAGUUGGUUUGAGGGAAAAUAAUCCCCAGGUAGGGAAGUCCCUCCUAGCUAAAGAAAGCACUGAGCACAGGGACAGGGGAGGAUCUCCCAGCAGCAAGGGAUCCUUUCUGAAACACAGUUGUGUAGGACUUCUCUUUGGAAGCAAUGAUGAGAGAGCACUCCCUCGAAACCCACCCCAGCGCCAUUUCAGGCUGGUGGAGGUGGUGGUACUGGGCUACAGCUCUUAAUCUGUGGGAAUUUUCCUCCCUCCAGCAUUUGCUGCAUAUGUAAAGCCCUGCAUAAGCCAUUGUAGUCUCUGGGAUCUGGGGGUGGAAAGAGGAAUGGAAGAAAUCUUGAAGCAGAAUAUAUUUAGCUUCCUUCUCUUCCAGGAUGCUCCUUCACACCUCACUGUUCAGCGCAUCCAGCCCUGCACCGAGCAGGGGAAAUGCAGCAAAACCAGCAGAGCUUUCUGCAGCAAUGAAGGGGCUUUCAGUAAAGCAGCCUCAGUACUGAAAACAUGAAAGGGACACCACAGUUCUUUAUCAAAGCACAGUUUAACACAAUCCAUGUGAGGGAUGCUGCGUUAGUUCCUAGCACUAUUUAGCUAUACCGAAAGGAAAGGAAAAUAUUAUAGCUAUGCAGAAAUAAAAAAUGGGAUCAAGAUUAGUGGAAAAGGGCAGAAAUGACGUUUACUAAGCUGCCUUUUGCCUGUGAUGUUUGUUCUUUACUGUUUUUCACUUAACAAGACUGCAGAAGACAUUACUUGUCCUUAAAGAGUGCUACUGCAUGCAGAGAGGAACCAGACCGUGGUUAUCUGCUGUAACCGAAAAGCUGACAUUUUGAAGUGGUCAUUAUUCAUUGCAACUGCUCAGAUUGAGGCCAUUUCACAUGGAAACAAUUAAGAGGCAGAAUGCAUAUCAUAACAAAGGAAUGAGAAAGAAAGAUCAGGAAAUACAGGCAGAUUGGAUAAUUCUCUUAAAAUGGAUACCGUAUUUACUGCAAGUGAUUAUAACAAAUCUAAGACUUGUAUUACCACCAGAGAACAGACAUGACUGAAUUGCAGAUUUUCUCAUGCAACCUCAGAGGAAAAAAUUCAGUUUAUUGAUUAAUUCAUAAUUUAGGUCCAGAAUGGAAAAAAAAAAAAUCUCAUUUCAUUUGUGUGCAGGAUGGAAGGAGCCUGAAAAUAAUGAAUUACAAAAGUGGUCACAACUGGAAAUUACAGAUAAAUGAAAACCAAAUAGGAAUGCAAAACAAUAUGGUCCGCGUGUACUUCAGUAAAAGCAAGGGAAAAAUGCAAAUGUGCAUGGAAGGGCAUCCACAGAGAUUGCAGAUUCUUCUCGAGAUCGGCCUAAGUGCAACUGGAGAGAAGAGAAGAGGAUAAAGAACAAAAUCCACUUCUAAAGAGGCGUGUUGUCUUACAUGCAGGAGAUACGGGGGGAGGGUUUCUUUACACUAUCAGAGAAUGAGCGAGGUAAUUACUGGAAGGCAUAUAUUGCAAUAAAGAAUUAUGAAACACCAUUUAAUUCUUCUUUCUGGUUGAGUAAUUAAACAAACAGAAUAUCAGCACUAAACGGUGUGAGAUGGAUGAGACACCAUGAGCCUUAUACAACCAGGAGCCAGGAUGUCCAUGUCCCUCGGUCCUAAAACAGUCAUCUGUGUUUGCAAGGAAGUUCGGAAAUCACUUAGCGAAGAUAUCGAUACUGGAUCUCCUAGUGGCAUAAAUGCCACACCUUUCUGCUGUGUACACAUUCACACGCCGAAUUUCAUUAUGCCCCCCAAAAUGAGUGACUUAAACUUGGACAAUUAAGUGACAGCAAACUGCCCUCCAAUUCCUUCCCCCUGACCACUGUCUGGGAGACUAAUUUUUAUUGCCAUUGAAAUCAAUUUGAGUUGUAUGACUAACCUCACUGGAGCCAGGAUGCAAGCAGCUAAUGGUCUGCUGACAAUAGCUG